rnacentral:rRNA from 1 species
ACGAACGCUGGCGGCGUGCUUAACACAUGCAAGUCGAACGGAAAGGCCCUGCUUUUGUGGGGUGCUCGAGUGGCGAACGGGUGAGUAACACGUGAGUAACCUGCCCUUGACUUUGGGAUAACUUCAGGAAACUGGGGCUAACACCGGAUAGGAGCUCCCGCUGCAUGGUGGGGGUUGGAAAGUUUCGGCGGUUGGGGAUGGACUCGCGGCUUAUCAGCUUGUUGGUGGGGUAGUGGCUUACCAAGGCUUUGACGGGUAGCCG